ACUGCUCAGUAACACGUGGCUAAUCUGCCCUUAGGACGAGAACAACCCCGGGAAACUGGGGCUAACUCUUGAUAGGUGAAGAACUCUGGAAUGAGUCUUUGCCUAAAAAGAUUCACGUUAUCCUCGUGAACCUGCCUAAGGAUGAGGCCGCGACCGAUCAGGUUGUUGGCGAGGUAAUGGCUCACCAAGCCUUUUACCGGUGCGGGCCGUGGGAGCGGGAGCCCGGAGAUGGGUACUGAGACAAGGACCCAGGCCCUACGGGGCGCAGCAGUCGCGAAACCUUUGCAAUACACGAAAGUGUGACAGGGCUAUCCCGAGUGCCAUCCGCUGAGGAAGGCUUUUACCCAGUCUAGAACGCUGGGGGAAUAAGGAGAGGGCAAGUCUGGUGUCAGCCGCCGCGGUAAUACCAGCUCUCCGAGUGGUGUGGAUGUUUAUUGGGCCUAAAGCAUCCGUAGCUGGCUAGGUAAGUCCCUUGUUAAAUCCACCGAAUUAAUCGUUGGAUCGCGGGGGAUACUGCUUGGCUAGGGGACGAGAGAGGCAGACGGUAUUUUCGGGGUAGGGGUGAAAUCCUAUAAUCCCGGGAAGACCACCAGUGGCGAAGGCUGUCUGCUAGAACGCGCCCGACGGUGAGGGAUGAAAGCUGGGGGAGCGAACCGGAUUAGAUACCCGGGUAGUCCCAGCUGUAAACGAUGCAGGCUAGGUGUUUGGACGGCCACGUGCCGUUCUAGUGCCGCAGGGAAGCUGUUAAGCCUGCCGCCUGGGGAGUACGAUCGCAAGAUUGAAACUUAAAGGAAUUGGCGGGGGAGCAC
rnacentral:rRNA from 1 species